rnacentral:rRNA from 1 species
AGCUUAGAAGCAGCUAUUCAUUCAAAGAGUGCGUAAUAGCUCACUAGUCGAGUGACCCUGCGCCGAAAAUGUACCGGGGCUAAAACAAUUUACCGAAGCUGUGGAUACCUUUAUAGGUAUGGUAGGAGAGCGUUCUAUGUGUGAUGAAGGUAUACCGUGAGGAGUGCUGGAACGCAUAGAAGUGAGAAUGCCGGUAUGAGUAGCGAAAGACAGGUGAGAAUCCUGUCCACCGUAAGACUAAGGUUUCCAGGGGAAGGCUCGUCCGCCCUGGGUUAGUCGGGACCUAAGGAGAGACCGAAAGGUGUAUCCGAUGGACAACAGGUUGAUAUUCCUGUACUAGAGUAUGUAGUGAUGGAGGGACGCAGUAGGCUAACUAAAGCAGACGAUUGGAAGAGUCUGUCUAAGCAGUGAGGUGUGAAUUGAGUCAAAUGCUUAAUUCUAUAACAUUGAGCUGUGAUGGGGAGCGAAGUUUAGUAGCGAAGUUAGUGACGUCACACUGCCAAGAAAAGCUUCUAGCGUUUAAACAUACUCUACCCGUACCGCAAACCGACACAGGUAGUCGAGGCGAGUAGCCUCAGGUG